CAGGUUUCAAACUCCUGACCUCAGGUAAUCGCCUGCCUCAGCCUCCCAAAAUGCUGGGAUUAUAGGCGUGAGCCACUACGCCCGGCUGUAAAAGCCUGGGCGACAGGGUGAGACUCUGUCUCCAAAAAAUAAAUAAAUAAAUAAAUAAAUAAAUAAAUAAAUAAAUAAAUAUCAUUCCUCAGUAUUUAAAUGGAAGUGAUUAAAUGUCUUCUAAUGGGAAUUCAUUCACUGUGUUUGCAUAAAGGGUCAANNNNNNNNNNNNNNNNNNNNNNNNNNNNNNNNNNNNNNNNNNNNAACAAACAAAAAAAGACAACAACAAAAAAAACCUUUGUCGGAUGUGUAUAUUGCAAACAUUUCCUCCUAUUCUGUAAGUUGUCUGUUUAUUCUGUUGAUUGAUAGUUUAUUUUGCUGUGCAGAAGCUCUAUAGUUUAAUUAGAUCCCAUUUGUCAAUUUUUGCUUUCGUUGCACUGUUUUUGGCUACUCUUUAGGUGUUACUAAGGUCUUUUUCUCCCUAUACCUCCAGUUCAUCACAGGAUCAUAUUUUUCCCCUUUUAAAAUUGCUUUUUUCCCCAGAGCUACGGAUACAUUGUGUAAAAGCCUGCAAUUGACUUAGGCUUCUAAAAUAUCUUUGUUAUUACCUCUUGUAUAUUUAACACCCUCACUUGCUUCAGGUCUUUGCUCAAACAAUACCAACUUUUAUAGUUUCCCCAGUUUUCCUGUUUAAAACUGCACCCUACUCACCAAGAUUUGCACUCCCUAGUCCCUUCUCCCUUCUUUUUCUACAAAUUUAUUUGACAAAUGAUAUAUUUUAUUUAAGUAUUUAUUAUUUAUUGUCUCCUCUCUCCCCUCUACCAUAAGAUGUAAGCCGCAUGAUGGAAGGGACUUUGAGUGCCUUGUUAA
rnacentral:lncRNA from 1 species